UGGAUAGCUCAGUUGGUAAAGCAUGAGAGUCUUAAUCUCAGGGUUCAUGAGUUCAAGUUCCACGGGCAAAA